rnacentral:rRNA from 1 species
UACGUAGGCAGCGAGCGUUGUUCGGAGUUACUGGGCGUAAAGAGUGCGUAGGCGGUUUUCUAAGUUUGGUGUGAAAUCUCCCGGCUCAACUGGGAGGGUGCGCCGAAGACUGGAAGGCUUGAGUAUGGGAGAGGUAAGCGGAAUUCCUGGUGUAGCGGUGAAAUGCGUAGAUAUCAGGAGGAACACCUGCGGUGUAGACGGCUUACUGGACCACCACUGACGCUGAGGCACGAAAGCGUGGGUAGCAAACAGG